UCUGUUGGAUUCGGAGAUUGCUCUGCCCGGACGGAACCCUUUUUCAUGGCUGAUCUCAGUGCAUCUACUACGGAAGAGGAUCUGUUUGCCCAAACGGAUCCUGAUUCAGAGGCAGAAACAAAAACCGAAGAGGAUCCUGAAUCCAUUUUUAUGACUGUGAUUGAUCCUUUGGUUGAUGAUUUUGUUGAGAAUUUCAGGGAAGAGG
rnacentral:lncRNA from 1 species